GACGAACGCUGGCGGCGUGCCUAAUACAUGCCAGUAGAACGCUGAAGGAGGAGCUUGCUCUUCUGGAUGAGUUGCGAACGGGUGAGUAACGCGUAGGUAACCUGCCUGGUAGCGGGGGAUAACUAUUGGAAACUAUAGCUAAUACCGCAUAAGAGUAGAUGUUGCAUGACAUUUGCUUAAAAGGUGCAAUUGCAUCACUACCAGAUGGACCUGCGUUGUAUUAGCUAGUUGGUGGGGUAACGGCUCACCAAGGCGGGGAUACAUAGCCGACCUGCGAGGGGGAUCGGCCACACUGAGACUGAGACACGGCACAGACUCCCACGGGAGGCAGCAGUACGGAUUCUGGGGCAAUGGAUGGAAGUCUGACCGAGCAACGCCGCGUGAGUGAAGAAGGUUGUCGGAUCGUAGAGCUCUGUUGUAAGAGAAGAACGAGUGUGAGAGUGGAAAGUUCACACUGUGACGGUAUUUUACCAGAAAGGGACGGCUAACUACGUG
rnacentral:rRNA from 1 species